UACAGAGACUGCAAGCGUUAUUCGGAUUCACUGGGCGUAAAGGGUGCGCAGGCGGCCGUGUGUGUGAGGCGUGAAAGCCCGGGGCUUAACCCCGGAAUUGCACCUCAAACUACACGGCUAGAGCAUUGGAGAGGGUAGCAGAAUUCAUGGUGUAGCAGUGAAAUGCGUAGAUAUCAUGAGGAACACCAGAGGCGAAGGCGGCUACCUGGACAAUUGCUGACGCUCAGGCACGAAAGCGUGGGGAGCAAACAGG
rnacentral:rRNA from 1 species